rnacentral:rRNA from 1 species
CCUACGGGUGGCAGCAGUGAGGAAUAUUGGUCAAUGGGCGCGAGCCUGAACCAGCCAAGUAGCGUGAAGGAUGACUGCCCUAUGGGUUGUAAACUUCUUUUAUAAAGGAAUAAAGUGAGGCACGUGUGCCUUUUUGUAUGUACUUUAUGAAUAAGGAUCGGCUAACUCCGUGCCAGCAGCCGCGGUAAUACGGAGGAUCCGAGCGUUAUCCGGAUUUAUUGGGUUUAAAGGGAGCGUAGGUGGUUUGGUAAGUCAGAUGUGAAAGUUUGCGGCUCAACCGUAAAAUUGCAAUUGAUACUGGCAGGCUUGAGUACAGUUGAGGUAGGCGGAAUUCGUGGUGUAGCGGUGAAAUGCUUAGAGAUCACGAAGAACUCCGAUUGCGAAGGCAGCUUACUAAGCUGCCACUGACAUUGAUGCUCGAAAGUGUGGGUAGCAAACAGGAUUAGAUACCCGAGUAGUC